rnacentral:rRNA from 1 species
GAGCAGGUGCGAAAGCAGGUCAUAGUGAUCCGGUGGUUCUGAAUGGAAGGGCCAUCGCUCAACGGAUAAAAGGUACUCCGGGGAUAACAGGCUGAUACCGCCCAAGAGUUCAUAUCGACGGCGGUGUUUGGCACCUCGAUGUCGGCUCAUCACAUCCUGGGGCUGAAGUAGGUCCCAAGGGUAUGGCUGUUCGCCAUUUAAAGUGGUACGCGAGCUGGGUUUAGAACGUCGUGAGACAGUUCGGUCCCUAUCUGCCGUGGGCGCUGGAGAACUGAGGGGGGCUGCUCCUAGUACGAGAGGACCGGAGUGGACGCAUCACUGGUGUUCGGGUUGUCAUGCCAAUGGCACUGCCCGGUAGCUAAAUGCGGAAGAGAUAAGUGCUGAAAGCAUCUAAGCACGAAACUUGCCCCGAGAUGAGUUCUCCCUGAGACUUUAGGUCUCCUGAAGGAACGUUGAAGACGACGACGUUGAUAGGCCGGGUGUGUAAGCGCAGCGAUGCGUUGAGCUAACCGGUACUAAUGAACCGUGAGGCUUAACCUUACAACGCCGAAG